AUUGAACGCUGGCGGCAGGCCUAACACAUGCAAGUCGAGCGGAUGAAGGGAGCUUGCUCCUGGAUUCAGCGGCGGACGGGUGAGUAAUGCCUAGGAAUCUGCCUGGUAGUGGGGGAUAACGUCCGGAAACGGGCGCUAAUACCGCAUACGUCCUGAGGGAGAAAGUGGGGGAUCUUCGGACCUCACGCUAUCAGAUGAGCCUAGGUCGGAUUAGCUAGUUGGUGGGGUAAAGGCCUACCAAGGCGACGAUCCGUAACUGGUCUGAGAGGAUGAUCAGUCACACUGGAACUGAGACACGGUCCAGACUCCUACGGGAGGCAGCAGUGGGGAAUAUUGGACAAUGGGCGAAAGCCUGAUCCAGCCAUGCCGCGUGUGUGAAGAAGGUCUUCGGAUUGUAAAGCACUUUAAGUUGGGAGGAAGGGCAGUAAGUUAAUACCUUGCCGUUUUGACGUUACCAACAGAAUAAACACCGGCUAACUUCGU
rnacentral:rRNA from 1 species